rnacentral:rRNA from 1 species
AGACGUCUACAUUAGAUACCCCCGUAGUCCCAGCCGUAAACUAUGCGCGUUAGGUGUAUCGGUGACCACGAGUCACCGAGGUGCCGAAGGGAAACCGUGAAACGUGCCGCCUGGGAAGUACGGUCGCAAGGCUGAAACUUAAAGGAAUUGGCGGGGGAGCACCGCAACGGGAGGAGCGUGCGGUUUAAUUGGAUUCAACACCGUAAACUCACCAGGGAAGACUGUUACAUGAAGGCCGAGAUGAAGACUCUGCUAGAUUUUCAG